AGCAGCCGCGGUAAUUCCAGCUCCAAUAGCGUAUAUUAAAGUUGUUGCAGUUAAAAAGCUCGUAGUUGAAUUUCGGGAUUGACACAUCGGUCGUGCCUUAAGGGGUAUGAACUGGUGUAGUCAAUUUCUCACCUUCUGGAGAACCGCGAUGCCCUUAAUUGGGUGUCGCGGGGAACCAGGACCUUUACUUUGAAAAAUUAGAGUGUUUAAAGCAGGCAUUUUGCUUGAAUACAUUAGCAUGGAAUAAUAAAAUAGGACGGCAUGAUUCUAUUUUGUUGGUUUCUAGGAUCACCGUAAUGAUUAAUAGGGAUAGUUGGGGGCAUUAGUAUUCAAUUGUCAGAGGUGAAAUUCUUGGAUUUAUUGAAGACUAACUACUGCGAAAGCAUUUGCCAAGGAUGUUUUCAUUAAUCAAGAACGAAAGUUAGGGGAUCGAAGACGAUCAGAUACCGUCGUAGUCUUAACCCAUAAACUAUGCCGACUAGGAAUCAGACGAUGUUAAUUUUUAAUGUACUCGUUUGG
rnacentral:rRNA from 1 species